rnacentral:rRNA from 1 species
GACGAAGGGGGCUAGCGUUGUUCGGAAUUACUGGGCGUAAAGCGCGCGUAGGCGGUUUUGCAAGCCAGAGGUGAAAUGCCUGAGCUCAACUCGGGAAUGGCCUUUGGGACUGCGAGGCUUUGAGGACUGGAGAGGUGAGUGGAAUUCCCAGUGUAGAGGUGAAAUUCGUAGAUAUUGGGAAGAACACCGGUGGCGAAGGCGGCUCACUGGCCAGUUUCUGACGCUGCAGCGCGAAAGCGUGGGGAUCAAACAGG